UACAGGGGGGGGCAAGCGUUGUUCGGAAUUACUGGGCGUAAAGGGCCAGUAGGCGGCCAACUAAGUCCGACGUGAAAUCCCCAGGCUUAACCUGGGAACUGCGUCGGAUACUGGAUGGCUUGAAUUCGGGAGAGGGAUGCAGAAUUCCAGGUGUAGCGGUGAAAUGCGUAGAUAUCUGGAGGAACACCGGUGGCGAAGGCGGCAUCCUGGACCAACACUGACACUGAGGAGCGAAAGCCAGGGGAGCAAACGGG
rnacentral:rRNA from 1 species